GGCAGGCUUAACCAUGCAAGUCGAGGGGUAUAGUAGCAAUACUAGAGACCGGCGCACGGGUGCGUAACGCGUAUGCAAUCUACCUGGCACAGAGGGAUAGCCCAGAGAUAUCUGGAUUAAUACCUCAUAGUAUGAUAGAGUGGCAUCACUUGAUAAUGAUAGUUACAACGGUGAAAGAUGAGCAUGCGUCCCAUUAGUGAGUGGGUAAGGUAACGGCGCACCAAGACUACGAUGGGUAGGGGUGCUGAGAGGGAGAUCCCCCACACUGGUACUGAGACACGGACCAGACUCCUGACGGGAGGCGGCAGUGAGGAAUAUCGGACGAUGGGCGCAAGCCUGAUCCAGCCAUGCCGCGUGCAGGAUGACGGUCCUGAUGGAUGGUAAACUGCUGGUGCACAGGAGGAAACCACUUCACGUGUACUGUCUCGACGGUACUGUGAGAAUAUGGAUCGGCUCACUCCGCGCCAGCAGCCGCGGUAUUACGGAGGAUCCACGCAUCAUCCGGAAUCAUUGGG
rnacentral:rRNA from 1 species